rnacentral:lncRNA from 1 species
CGGGUUCCCCAUUUCAUUCAACCUUUCACAUUCCUCUGAAUCGAAACCCAACUCAAGUUGAAAACGAUGAAGCUGAGACUCAGAUCUCUGGAAUCCAAAGAAACCCUAAAACUCGAUGUUCCCAAUUCAUGUUCAUUGCAGCAUCUCAAAGAAACCAUUUCUCAUUCCAUCUCUUCUUCAUCUUCAUCUCCCUCUUCUCCCUCUUCCUUUCAUCUUUCUCUCAAUAGGAACGAUGAACUUCACGCUUCCUCACCAAACGAUUCACUCAAUUCUAUCGGAAUCACCAACGGCGACCUCAUUUUCUAUACUCUCAACACCAACGCCUUCUCCCCAGAAACCCUAAUUCACAAACCGGUGGAUAUCACCAUGAGCGAUGCUCCUUCAAUUCCUGAACCGGAAAAGUCUCAAACUUUGGAUGCAGCGGAAGCGGAAACCACUGAUUUNUGAUCACAUUGUAGCAGCAAUAGAGGAAGCAAAGGACCUUGACAACCUAACAAUUGAUGAACUGCAAGGGUCCUUAGAAGUGCAUGAGCAAAGAUUCAUGGAGAGGUAGAUCUACAGACAGUCAGAUCAUGCUUUGAGUGCACAGUUCAAGAAGAAGGGUGGUCCUGGACAGAAUGAUAGAUUCAGAAGAAACAAGGCAAAGUGGCAAGGUGGUAGGAGAUUUGAAACUGACAAUUCGAAGCUUGGACUGAAUUCACAACAAAGAACUAACUCUAGCAAUCAGGGUAAUGGUGGUGAAGUCAGUAGAGCCAAGAAAGGGAGUAAUCAGUUGGUUGGAAUGCACAAGAAGGACAAGAGCAAAAUUCAGUGCUUCAACUGCAGAAAUUGGGGACAUUUUGCCUCAGAAUGUAAGGAAAGAAGAGUCAUCCAUACUAAAGAAGCAGAAGCAAGGCUAGCCAAAGAUGAGGAAUCAGAGGAAGGGGUGCUAUUGAUGGCCAGAAGCAUUGAUUCUUGUCAAAGAAUUAGUGAAUCAGAUGAUGCUCUACUCAUGGUGACAAAUCAACAAGAACAGAAUUCAAGUAGUUGGUAUCUUGAUUCAGGUUGUUCUAAUCACAUGACAGGGAAUAAGGAUUGGUUUGUAACAUUGGACAAUUCAGUUGAAACCAGAAUCAAGUUUGCAGAUGAUAGCAUUAUCAAGGCAGACGGGAUUGGUAAAGUGAUGAUCAAGAAGAAAGAUGGAUCAACCUCAUACAUAUCAAGUGUGCUAUAUGUGCCAAGAAUGAAGAGCAAUCUUCUAAGUCUUGGACAAUUGCUUGAGAAAGGGUACAAGAUGAGAUUAGAAGAGAAGAUGCUCAAAGUAUUCAACAAAAAGGGAGUGUUAGUCUUGAAAGCCCCUCUAGCACAAAACAGGACUUUCAAGAUUGGCAUUCAGCUUGGAAAUCAAAAGUGUCUAGGAUCCAUGACAGAUGAGAAGUGGAUUUGGCAUCAAAGAUUUGGACACCUUAACUUCAAGAGUCUUGAAUUACUAAGCCAAGGUGAAAUGGUCCUAGGAUUACCUACUUUCAGAGCCUCAGAUGAUGUAUGUGAUGACUGCAUUGCAAGCAAACAAACCAGAAACAGAUUCUGCUCACAAAUUCCAACUAAAACCACUCAACCACUUGAGGUGGUCUAUACUGAUGUAUGUGGCCCUAUGGAAACAGAUUCACUUGGAGGAAGCAGAUACUUUGUGACUUUCAAGGAUGAUUUCACAAGGAAGCUUUGGAUUUAUGCAAUAGAGAAAAAGAGUGAUGUGUUUGCCAAGUUCAAAAGCUUCAAAGCAGCAGCAGAAAAGCAGUGUGGAAAGAGUUUAAAACUGAUAAGAAGUGAUGGUGGAGGAGAGUAUAUCUCUCAUGAGUUUCAAAAUCAUUGUGAAGUUGAAGGCAUAACUCAUGAGAUAACUGCUCCAUACACUCCUCAACACAAUGGAGCAGCUGAGAGGGUGAAUAGAACUGUGUUGAACAUGGCAAGAAGUAUGCUCAAGACAAAGCAACUACCAAAGAAGUUUUGGGCAGAAGCAGUAACAACAGCAGCCUACAUAUUGAAUAGAUGUCCUNNNNNNNNNNNNNNNNNNNNNNNNNNNNNNNNNNNNNNNNNNNNNNNNNNNNNNNNNNNNNNNNNNNNNNNNNNNNNNNNNNNNNNNNNNNNNNNNNNNNUUUGGUGAUUCAGAAAUCAAUCAUGAAGGAGAUUUUGUGCAUAUGGCACUGUUAGCUGAGAUGGAACCUGUCUCAUUUGAUCAAGCAAUGAAAGAACAAUGCUGGAUUGAAGCAAUGAAGGAAGAAAUUCAUUCCAUUGAAAAAAAUGACACAUGGGAGCUUACAUCAUUGCCAAAGGACAAGAAACCUAUCCUAGUAAAAUGGGUGUACAAACUGAAAUUGAAGCCUGAUGGAACAGUCUCUAAGCACAAGGCAAGACUUGUUGCAAAAGGAUUCUUGCAGAAACAAGGUUUGGAUUUUGAAGAAGUUUUUGCACCAGUGGCCAGAAUAGAAACCAUAAGGCUUGUCAUAGCUAUUGCAAGUUCAAGAGGGUGGUUAAUUUGCCAAAUGGAUGUGAAAUCUGCCUUCUUAAAUGGUCCAAUAGACAAGGAAGUAUAUGUGGUUCAACCUCCUGGUUUCACAGUUCCAGAUCAAGAACACAAAGUCUAUAGAUUGCACAAAGCUUUGUAUGGGUUGAAACAAGCACCCAGGGCUUGGAACAAAAGGAUAGAUGGAUUCUUGCUGAAACUUGGUUUUCUAAGAUGCAUCAAUGAGCAUGGCAUUUACACCAAAGAAGUCACUACUGAAGCCUCUAUAGUGAUAUGCUUAUAUGUGGAUGACCUGCUCAUCACAGGCAACAACAAUGAUCAGAUUGAAUGGUGUAAAAGGAAGCUGAAACAUGAGUUUGAGAUGACUGAUCUAGGAAGUCUUUCAUACUUCCUAGGAAUUGAAUUUCUCAGGACAGAGGCAGGGAUCUUAAUGCACCAGAAGAAGUAUAUCACUGAUAUACUUGCAAGAUUCAACAUGGCAGAGUGUAAUUCAGUCUCAACACCUAUUGAAACUGGUCAUUCUCUAUGCAACUUUAACACUGGAAAUUCAGAAGAUGGUGCAGUGGACUCAACUUUCUUCAGACAAAUGAUAAGGUCUCUAAGGUAUGUUUGCAACACAAGACCUGAUCUAGCCUAUGCAGUGGGAUUAGUGAGCAGGUAUAUGGAAAAUCCUAAGCAUUCUCACCUAGGAGCAGUGAAGAGAGUACUGAGGUAUCUCAAAGGGAGCAUGAACUAUGGCAUAAUGUUUCCAGCACUCAGAAAAACUGAACAGAGCAGAAAGAUGAACAUUAUUCGUGGAUACACUGAUUCUGAUUGGUGUGGUGAUAAAGAUGAUAGAAAAAGCACAAGUGGCUACUUAUUCAAGCUUGGUGAAGCACCUAUAAGUUGGUGCUCAAAGAAACAGAAAGUGGUUGCACUCUCUUCCUGUGAAGCUGAGUAUAUAUCAGCAUGUUUUGGUGGACAACAAGCUCUAUGGUUGAAGGCACUACUCAUGGAAUUGGGAUUGCAGAAUGAUGAGCCAAUGGUGAUAUUCGUUGACAACAAGUCAACAAUAAACUUGGCAAAGAAUCCAGUAGCUCAUGGAAGAAGCAAACAUAUAGAGACCAAAUACCAUUUCAUAAGAGAUCAAGUGGAGAAGAACAAAUUAAGCUUGGUUUUCUGCAAAUCAAGUGAGCAACUAGCUGACAUAUUAACAAAGCCUUUGAAGAGGAGUGAUUUCGAAAGGCAAAGGAAUCAAUUAGGUGUUGUUAGUAUAGAUAGCAUGAAUUAAGGGGGUGUGUUAAAUUGUAAUUCAUUGCUAAUUAGAAGUUAGUUGUAACCCUUCUAUAAAUAGAAGGUUGUAUUUCAAAAAGUGGUUAAUGCAUUCUAAAAAUAGAAUGAUUCAGAUUUUGAUCAUUCAAUCAUUGCAAGAUUUACUCCCUCUUAAUUCUCAUUCAUUCCUUCAAUAAUUCUCUCUCACAAACUCCAAUUCUUCUCUUCUCUAUACACGAUUUCAUUUCUUCUUCAUUUACUUUCUUUUCUGUAACAACACCAGAAGCAAGGAAUUGAGCUUCUGGUUUUUCAAACUUCAACAUUAUUGUCUAUUUCUCAUUAAUAAUUACAUUUUUAAAGAAAAAAUAUAAAAUAUUAUGACAUUAUUUUUAGUUUAUAAUCUUCCAUCUAAAUUUUAUAGUGAUAACAAAAGAGAAGUUGCCUUCCUUUCCAUUUCUCAUUCUUACCCAUUUGGUCUCUUUCAUUCUUUUUUUCUCUUUCUCCAAUCAUAGUAUAAGUAGAAAAAUUUAUACACAAACAUUAUACCAUUUAAUAUUCAUUUAUAUUAUUUUAUUUAAAAAAUAUUAACGACUAAAUAUGAGUGAUAGAUAAUGGUGAAUAUGUAAGUUUAUUCUUUGGUGGAAAAGGAAAUCAAGAAAGAGUUCAUCCGGUAGUUUCGGGUUCCCCAUUUCAUUCAACCUUUCACAUUCCUCUGAAUCGAAACCCAACUCAAGUUGAAAACGAUGAAGCUGAGACUCAGAUCUCUGGAAUCCAAAGAAACCCUAAAACUCGAUGUUCCCAAUUCAUGUUCAUUGCAGCAUCUCAAAGAAACCAUUUCUCAUUCCAUCUCUUCUUCAUCUUCAUCUCCCUCUUCUCCCUCUUCCUUUCAUCUUUCUCUCAAUAGGAACGAUGAACUUCACGCUUCCUCACCAAACGAUUCACUCAAUUCUAUCGGAAUCACCAACGGCGACCUCAUUUUCUAUACUCUCAACACCAACGCCUUCUCCCCAG